AUAAUAUUAAAGAUAUAAAUCUACAUGAUGUAAUCAGAUUGUGCAUUUGAGUGAGUGCUGCAAGCUGGGAAGGUAAAUAUGACCAGCGAUGAUGGCAGCAUGUCAACGACGUCAUGGAGGAUAAUUAACUCUAACAACUGCUCUGUGCCUGCGCCUAUUCAUAUGCUCUGACUUCGGAAGUGCAAACCAAUAAGAAGAGAGAUGAAGAAUAUGCAGUUUAUUAUAGCUGCAAUUGGCCUGAACUAUAUUCAGGAUAUGGAGUUAUGGAUGCCAAGGGAAACUGAUCAUUUUGGUUUUAGUUAAUGAAGGUUGAACAUGUCAGUCUAGAUGCUCAUGUGAUGAGCUUAGUUUUUUGUUUCCUUUAAUGAAGCUUCGAUCUAUUUAUGUGUAGAGUGCACAUGUUCUUGUAAAACACAUGUGUACAAGAUGAUGGUGUAAAGCAACAAUGUGUUC